GAUUGUCUUAGAAAUUCUUUAGAUAGACUCAGUAAUAAUCAAUAUCAGAAACAUAUAUGAAACAAAAGCAAUACCAGAUAAAUUUAAGUAGCCAUACUUUCUGAAGGUUUUCAUUACAAAAAUGAAAUAAAAACCAUUAAAAAGAUUGAAGCUUCAUGUUCUUAUCUUCGUCCUUAUCAUCUACUUCUUCUUCUUCCUCUUCUCCUUGGCUACUUUCAUCAAGAUCGACACUCAUUGGUAGUCCAGUCUCAUAUUUUCAGGUAGUCUACCCUUUUAUUUUCAACUAUGCAGCAAGAACAGAAGAGAAAGGUGCCGCUAAUUUAAGGGUCUAUAACCAUGCUGGAUUCUUCAAGGGAGUAACCACAGCUUUCACUUGCAAGUAAUUGCUGAGACUGUAAAUCCCCUUUUCCCUCCCAUGUCCACUCAUCUUGUACCCACCAAAAGGAAUGGCAGCAUCAAAGACAUCAAAGCAAUUGAUCCAUACUGUUCCAGCAUGUAAUGCCCGUGUCAGGAUGUUUGCAGUUUCUAAGUUCUGUGUAAACACCCCUGCAGCCAGCC
rnacentral:misc_RNA from 1 species